GCUCCCGUAGCCCAACUGGCAGAGGCGACUGUCUUAGAAACAGUUCAUGUGUAGGUUCAACUCCUACCGGGAGCA
rnacentral:tRNA from 1 species